CGUCAAUGCAAACCGUGGUUCCUGUGUACGUUUGAUUGUUCGUUUUAUAUGAAAUUUUUUUAUAAUUAGUAUUUUUAUUAUUGUUAGAUGAUAAAACAUGAUUAAUACUUUAUGCGUGACUUAUCUUUUUAAUUUUUUAAAUAAGACGAACGGUCAAACGUUGGACACGGAAAUCAGGGUUUAUCUUUUU
rfam:Oryza sativa Japonica Group DNA, chromosome 8, cultivar: Nipponbare, complete sequence.